GCGUCGGUGGUGCAACGGUUUAGCACAUGCUUCCGGAAAGACUAAGAUCUGGGUUCGAAUCCCGGCUGACGCA